AAUAUUUGACUAUGGGGGCAACCCUGAUCCAGCCAUGCCGUGUGUGUGAAGAAGGUCUUCGGAUUGUAAAGCACUUUAAGUUGGGGGGAAGGGCUUUAGGUCAUUACCAUGAAGUUUUGACAUUACCAACAGAAUAAACACCGGCUAACUCUGUACCGUCAGCCGCGGUAAUACAGAGGGUGCAAGCGUUAAUCGGAAUUACUGGGCGUAAAGCGGCAGUAGGUGGUUCAGUAAGUUGGGUGUGGAAUCCCCGGGCUUAACCCGGGAGCUGCUUUAAUAACUGCUGAGCUAGAGUACGGUAAAGGGUAGUGGAAUUUCCUGUGUAGGGGUUAAAAGCGUAGAGAUAGGAAGGAACAACAGUGGCGAAGGCGACUACCUGGACUGAUACUGACACUGAGGUGCGAAAGCGUGGGGAGCAAAA
rnacentral:rRNA from 1 species